rnacentral:rRNA from 1 species
AAGCUCGUAGUUGAAUUUCGGGGUUAGUAGGUUGGUCAUGCCUCUGGUAUGUACUGGUCUCACUGAUUCCUCCUUCCUUAUGAACCGUAAUGCCAUUAAUUUGGUGUUGCGGGGAAUUUGGACUGUUACUUUGAAAAAAUUAGAGUGUUUAAAGCAAGCUAACGCUUGAAUACAUUAGCAUGGAAUAAUGAAAUAGGACGUUCGAUCUUAUUUUUGUUUGGUUUUCUUAGGAUUGACGUAAUGAUUAAUAGGAUAGUUGGG